CCUACGGGAGGCAGCAGUGAGGAAUAUUGGUCAAUGGGCGGGAGCCUGAACCAGCCAAGUCGCGUGAAGGAAGAAGGUACUUAGUAUUGUAAACUUCUUUUGUCGGGGAACAAAGGCGGAGACGCGUCUCCGGAUGAGUGUACCCGAAGAAAAAGCAUCGGCUAACUCCGUGCCAGCAGCCGCGGUAAUACGGAGGAUGCGAGCGUUAUCCGGAUUUAUUGGGUUUAAAGGGUGCGCAGGCGGGUGAUCAAGUCGGCGGUAAAAUGUCGGGGCUCAACCCCGGCCGGCCGUUGAAACUGGUUGUCUAGAGUUGGAGAGAAGUAUGCGGAAUUCGUGGUGUAGCGGUGAAAUGCAUAGAUAUCACGAAGAACUCCGAUUGCGAAGGCAGCAUACCGGCUCCAUACUGACGCUGAGGCACGAAAGCGUGGGGAUCGAACAGGAUUAGAUACCCCAGUAGUC
rnacentral:rRNA from 1 species